rnacentral:rRNA from 1 species
UACAGAGGGUGCGAGCGUUUAAUCGGAAUUACUGGGCGUAAAGCGUGCGUAGACGGUUAUUUAAGUCGGGUGUGAAAGCCCUGGGCUCAACCUGGGAAUGGCAUUUGAAACUGGCCGGCUAGAGUGUGAUAGAGGAUGGCGGAAUUCCCGGUGUAGCGGUGAAAUGCGUAGAGAUCGGGAGGAACAUCCGUGGCGAAGGCGGCCAUCUGGAUCAACACUGACGCUGAGGCACGAAAGCGUGGGGAGCAAACAGG